GAUGGAAGGAAGUUGGUAGGAAGGUGUUGACACAAAUGAUAGUUAUCUAUCGAGACAGUGUGAUGGUGAAAUUUGACAUUGUUCUACAUGUAGACAGUAUGCAUAUUCUAGACAUUACUGAACAAUAACUAACAUUUUUUUUGUUUUGUUUCAAUGAAUGCAUAUUGAUAAGUUCACUGUAAAAUGUUUUCAUAUUGUUCUUCUGAUUUCAGAUGAAUUCUUAUCAGUUUUCAUUUGUAGGCUUGUACCCUGACUAAGGAAAGUUGAGGCGGACUGGGGCCUGCACUCUUCGCUCCACCCCCAACAGUUUAGUUUUCAUGUGACGCACCAAGAUGGCUCGAUGAAAGGUCUGAGGACUUGAGAGCUUCAGUGGGAAAAGGGAGGUGAGGGUGGCGGAGGAUCUGUGUAGGUUUAAGGUGGUAUACGUUACUUAGAGAAUUCAUAAGAAAAAUCAAAGUGAAAAUAAUCAACAAUCAUUUGUCAUUGUUGAGGAACCAUUUGUAUUUACGAUCAUUUGCUAGUAGUUUAAUGUGAAUUGUUCGUAUGUUUGUACAUGUAUAUAUAUUUACAUUGUGACUCAACUCUCCGGAAGUGCUUUCAUGUUAAAACAAUUUUGUAUUGAUAUGCAUUAGGCAUGAUAUGUGCUGAAUUAAAUGUUUGUUUUGGA